AAUAUCUAUCCCCAGUUUCUAUCGUUCACACGUCACCUGAUUUUCGCAAAAUUUCUCAAAUUUCUCCUCACAAUUGUUACCCACACACGCUGAUUCAUUGGAAUCGCUUGAUUUUGCUCUACAAUUCGUUGUUAUGGGAGACGAAGUGAGAAUUUCCGACUAUGAUGUCGGCGGUGCAGAUGACGACGGCCGAGUUUUGGAGUGGGAGGUUGGGUUGCCCAACGUCAACGAUUUGCCGUCGUUGUCACAGUUGCUGAUAUCGGCGGAACUGGCAUAUGCUUUCAGCAUCACGCCGGAGACUCACCGGAGUAUGAAUGACGUCGAUCGCGCUUCUCGCGACACACUCGCGAGUCUCCGAGGGCAGUCGCAGCAUCUGAUGAAUAAAAUUAAUGAUUUAAACUCGUUUAGUGAUGAUAGAGGAGAAGAGAUGGUUGUGGAAGGCGAGGAGACCUUGGAUCUGACUCGAGAGGGUUCGGAUUCGAGGAAAUUACGGAGAGUUGAUAGUGGCGGUGCCGUUGGUGGCGCUGGAGAAGCAGAUGAUUCUUCGACCAAGACAUCGAAACGGACUCGUUUGGUUUGGACACCGCAAUUGCACAAGCGGUUUGUUGAGGUUGUUGCGCGUUUAGGGGUGAAGAACGCGGUUCCUAAAACGAUUAUGCAGUUGAUGAACGUUGAAGGUUUGACGAGAGAGAACGUCGCCAGUCACCUUCAGAAGUAUAGGUUGUAUGUAAAAAGGAUGCAGGGGUUAUCUGACGAAGGGUCGUCGCCUUCGGAUCACUUGUUCGCUUCAACUCCUGUUCCUAAGGGUUUGCACGAUUCCGGUGGCGGUGGUGGAAAUGGAAGUGGAAUGCCCUAUCCACCACAGCUGGUGCCUAUGCCCUACCCACCACCGCAGAUGGUCCCUAAUCCGGCAAGUGGUGGCGGCCGUGCUUAUCAUCAUCACGGUUUCGAGUCACAUUCACAUCCAUAUAAUUAUAAUAUUAUGAUGCAGCCAAGAGACUGGUCUGGAAACAAUUUUGGUUCAAUUUCAGCGUAUCAGCACCGUAUGACUUCUAACGAUGAAUAGAAAUUCUAUAUCCAAUUUGGAUAAUUAUCCAAGCAAAGAGAGAACUUAGUACAUAUGAACUGCAUCAUUAAUCAAGUUAGUUAAUACUUGAUGGAGUAAGGCUCUGCAGACCAACAUCAUGGCUCAAUGUUUUUUCCUUCUUAUAAAAGGAUGGUUCUUCUUCAUCCUAUAAGAAGCAUCAUACCAACAUCCAUCCGUGGAUGUGGACAGAUUGCUGAAUUACAUAAAAUACGAUCUUUUUGGUUCUGCAUUGAAACGGUUGCAUCAAAAUAUUUGUAGAGAAAGAGAGGCGAAGUCUGCUGUAACUUGGGUUUAUCCAAUGAUCAAGUGAAUGCUAUCUCGACUAUUCAGUUGCAUUCAAGCAGAAGAUGGUUGCUGCCACAUUGCCAAGGAUUAUUAGGUACAUACAUAAUUCAAACUUUAUUCAUAAUGUUGCUUUUAUGUUUUCAAUUGAGUUUUGGUACCAUUAUCAAUAUUGAUGUUUGGUUUGUUAAACAAUAAAGUAUAAGAAUUAAU